UGCACGCCGAGGUCCUGACCGACAAGGCGUACAAGUACCGCGUUGUCAUCUCUGGACGGAACCUCGGCGUGCAACCCUCGUACCCGGUCGAGAGCGACGGCUCGCAGAAGGUUAACUUCCUCGAGUACAAUGCCGGCUACGGCAUUGCGGACACGAACACGAUCCAGGUGUUCGUCGUUGACCCUGAUACCAACGACGACUUCAUCGUCG
rnacentral:misc_RNA from 1 species